UACAGAGGGUGCGAGCGUUAAUCGGAAUUACUGGGCGUAAAGCGUGCGUAGACGGUUAUUUAAGUCGAGUGUGAAAUCCCCCGAGCUUAACUUGGGAAUUGCGCUCGAAACUACGUGGCUCGAGUGUGGCAGAGGAAGGUGGAAUUCCACGUGUAGCGGUGAAAUGCGUAGAGAUGUGGAGGAACACCGAUGGCGAAGGCAGCCUUCUGGGCCAACACUGACGCUCAUGCACGAAAGCGUGGGGAGCAAACAGG
rnacentral:rRNA from 1 species